GCUGACGUACGUGAUGACUGAACUUUUUUCCCCAACAGAUCGACCGUGUUGAUUUUGUUGCUUAUUAAGCCAGUUUUGUCUGAUAUGUCGGC
rfam:Xenopus laevis strain J chromosome 9_10S, whole genome shotgun sequence.